rnacentral:rRNA from 1 species
AGAGUUUGAUCCUGGCUCAGGACGAACGCUGGCGGCGUGCCUAAUACAUGCAAGUCGAGCGAAUCUGAGGGAGCUUGCUCCCAAAGAUUAGCGGCGGACGGGUGAGUAACACGUGGGCAACCUGCCUGUAAGACUGGGAUAACUUCGGGAAACCGGAGCUAAUACCGGAUAAUUCUUUCCCUCACAUGAGGGAAAGCUGAAAGACGGUUUCGGCUGUCACUUACAGAUGGACCCGCGGCGCAUUAGCUAGUUGGUGAGGUAACGGCUCACCAAGGCAACGAUGCGUAGCCGACCUGAGAGGGUGAUCGGCCACAUUGGGACUGAGACACGGCCCAAACUCCUACGGGAGGCAGCAGUAGGGAAUCUUCCGCAAUGGACGAAAGUCUGACGGAGCAACGCCGCGUGAGUGAUGAAGGUUUUCGGAUCGUAAAACUCUGUUGUUAGGGAAGAACAAGUAUCGGAGUAACUGCCGGUACCUUGACGGUACCUAACCAGAAAGCCACGGCUAACUACGUGCCAGCAGCCGCGGUAAUACGUAGGUGGCAAGCGUUGUCCGGAAUUAUUGGGCGUAAAGCGCGCGCAGGCGGUUCUUUAAGUCUGAUGUGAAAUCUUGCGGCUCAACCGCAAGCGGUCAUUGGAAACUGGGGGACUUGAGUGCAGAAGAGGAAAGCGGAAUUCCACGUGUAGCGGUGAAAUGCGUAGAGAUGUGGAGGAACACCAGUGGCGAAGGCGGCUUUCUGGUCUGUAACUGACGCUGAGGCGCGAAAGCGUGGGGAGCAAACAGGAUUAGAUACCCUGGUAGUCCACGCCGUAAACGAUGAGUGCUAAGUGUUAGAGGGUUUCCGCCCUUUAGUGCUGCAGCUAACGCAUUAAGCACUCUGCCUGGGGAGUACGGUCGCAGACUGAAACUCAAAGGAAUUGACGGGGGCCCGCACAAGCGGUGGGAGCAUGGUGGUUUAAUUCGAAGCAACGCGAAGAACCCUUACCAGGUC